rnacentral:RNase_P_RNA from 1 species
GAGGAAAGUCCGGGCUCUAUUUAUAAAUAUAUUGUUGUAUAAAAUGCAGUUUAGGUAACUAUUAGGAUAGUGCCACAGAAAUAUACCGCCUAUAAAUUUAGGUAAGGGUGCAAUGGUUCGGUAAGAGCGCACCAGAUACAUUUUUAAAGUGUUUGCUAGGUAAACCCCGUAUAAGAGUAAAGUAGUUAAUUGGUAUUUUAUUGCUUCUAAUCUUUUAUAAGUUUUAUAUAUUAUUUUUUUACUGGUUAUAUAUACUGCAUAAAGUAAUUUCAUUUACUUUUAGAUUAAUAAUUACCCUUUUGCACUAAAAUAAUAAAAUUUUAUUGCUUAAUAGAACUAAACCCGGCUUAU